AAAAAGAAAUGUGUUUUCAACAUCCACACGAGUAACCAAAAAUGUAAGAACAAAGUUAUAAAAAAUAAAUGGUAUGUAAUUUUCUAACGGCAUAUUUAUAUGCAUUUGAUCACUGCAAUUUAAAAGUAAAUUUAAUAUUUUAUUAAGUUAUCUCAAAUAAAUAACCUUUUUU
rnacentral:misc_RNA from 1 species